UGGGGAAUCUUGGACAAUGGGGGCAACCUGAUCCAGCAAUGCCGCGUGUGGGAUGAAGGCCUCGGGUUGUAAACCACUUUUGGCGGGGGCGAAAUAUCGAGUGCUAAUACCAUUCGGUGAUGACGGUACCCGCAGAAUAAGCACCGGCUAACUACGUGCCAGCAGCCGCGGUAAUACGUAGGGUGCAAGCGUUAAUCGGAAUUACUGGGCGUAAAGCGUGCGCAGGCGUUAGGUAAGACAGGUGUGAAAUUCCCGGGCUCAACCUGGGAACUGCAUUUGUGACUGCCUGACUAGAGUGCGGCAGAGGGGAGUGGAAUUCCGCGUGUAGCAGUGAAAUGCGUAGAUAUGCGGAGGAACACCGAUGGCGAAGGCAACUCCCUGGGCCUGCACUNACGCUCAUGCACGAAAAGCGUGGGGAGCAAACAGGAUCAGAUACCCUGGUAGUCCACGCCCUAAACGAUGUCGACUAG
rnacentral:rRNA from 1 species